rnacentral:misc_RNA from 1 species
AAGUCGUAACAAGGUUUCCGUAGGUGAACCUGCGGAAGGAUCAUUAACACGUAUCCAACGUUAAACAACCCCCGUGAACUUUCAGCUUGCUCCUGUAGCCCGUGAAAACAGCAAUCCCUGGUAAAUCAUUGUUGACCCAGGCUGCCGAUUGUGAUAUUUUAUAGCUACGGUUGAGCGAUUGCAUCUAGUGACCUGGCAUCCCCAAGUAAAGUGUCAUUGAUUAUGUAAGGAUGGCGCAGUCACGAUCGCUGUAGGCCCACGGCCGGCGACCUUUAACAACACGAAUUGGCCGGCACCAAAAACCGAACAACUGUUAACAAUGGAUAUCUUGGUUCUC